rnacentral:rRNA from 1 species
UACAGAGGGUGCAAGCGUUAAUCGGAAUUACUGGGCGUAAAGCGUGCGUAGACGGUCAUGUAAGUCGGGUGUGAAAGCCCCGGGCUCAACCUGGGAAUUGCAUUCGAGACUGCAUGGCUAGGAUGCGGAAGAGGGAAGCGGAAUUUCCGGUGUAGCGGUGAAAUGCGUAGAUAUCGGAAGGAACAUCAGUGGCGAAGGCGACUUCCUGGACCAAUACUGACACUCAGGUGCGAAAGCGUGGGGAGCAAACAGG